GCUUUUUAUUUUUGAGUCACUUGGCCACUACAGCAAUGAUUAUUAUUCUUCGAACUCGUCCCCACUCUUGUGUGUUUCCUCCAGUUUUAUCAUCCCUAAAGUACUGCACAGAGGUGAGGGGCAAUCCACGAGUUUGGAAAAUUGACCCAAAAAGAGCCAUUUUUGUUAUUUGCAAUGUCUAAAAUAAAAGUGGUAGUGAUAGUGUGGAACUUAAAACAGUGCAACGUCAUUACAAAAACAGGAACAAUACCGGUAUACAUUUUGAACCGGGGUCAAAAAAAAGUUUGUGAUAUUACAGAAAGUUACAGUAUAGGUAGUUUUUUUUUGUCUAUGGCUGUCUUUUUUUUUUUUUUUCAGUCCUUUUCGCUAAUGUACAAGAUAUUGCUGAGACUGAUCAAUUUUAUUGUAUUAGCUCAUAUGAGUAAGAUUUGUAUAUUAGCAUAUUGGUCAUUGAAAGUUAUAUAGGAUCAGAAGUACGGUAUAUAAAGUGUUACUUCUAUUCCUUUUCAAAUAAGUACGCAUUUGAACUUUUUGGUUUGUUUUGUUUUCUCAAUCCGAAAGAAUUCCAUGUAAACAUUAAAGUCAAAUUCCGUUUAAUGGUGUAAAAUGCAACAAAUGUGUCAUUUUUUUUGAUGGGAAUCCUAAACAAUGUUACAAGUACAAAAAGUAUACAAGUAGAUGCCUCCAAAUAUUUGCAGGUGAGUAAAUGAAUGACUAGGAUACCUGGUAGGUGGGAACAACCCUCCAUACCCUUGCACAAUACAAAUCCUUCGCACACACUCAUCCUUCCUUGACCAACAAAGCCCUGAGGGAGGGAC